rnacentral:sRNA from 1 species
UGUCACUUGGCCAAAACAAAAACAAACAAAAAA